AUUUGAGUUUUCGUGACAUGACAGGUUUUAAAAUACUGCGAAAGCGCGAGCUGUUUUGAGGGCGGUGACAAUAAACACUACAACUAACAGCAUCCAUCUCUCCAUCCCUCCAUCCAUCCCUCCAUCCGGGUCUGUCCGUCCAUCCAUCCGGCCCAUGGGACGAGCAGCGUGGCAUUGUGGGAUAUUCCCUCUCCUCCUCCUCCUCCUCCUUUCUGCAGCAUCAUCAGUCAGAAAGUAGGGCAGAGGGUCUGUCAUCAUGAUUACAGCGUCCUCACGUCUCUAAUGUUACUAAUUCUCUGGUGUCCCCCGCGUCAUGUCUGUCUGUCAGACUUCAGGCGUGCGGUGUUGUGACCAUCGCUGCGCUCUGACAUCAGUGAAGGAGGAUUCCAGAAUGUCGGGGGGUCCGGAAUGCUGGGACGGGCCUCCAAAAGGUCAGCGGUUACACCUGAGGGGUCACGAGAUAAUACAGGAGAGAAACUGAGGUUUAAUUUUUAUUUCCAGUUAUUUAUUACCUUUAAUUUUAAUCAAGAGGGUUUUUUUUUCUUUUUUUUAGGAAGUGUCAUG